AUUGAACGCUGGCGGCAGGCUUAACACAUGCAAGUCGGGCGAGCGGCGGAAGGGUGAGUACUGUCUGGGAAACUGCCUGAUGGAGGGGGAUAACUACUGGUAACGGUAGCUAAUACCGCCUAACCUCAGAUGUGCCCAGAUGGGAUUAGCUAGUAGGUGGGGUAAUGGCUCACCUAGGAGACUAUCCAUAGCUGGUCUGCGAGGAUGACCAGCCACACUGUAAAUGAGACAAGGUCCAGACUCGUACGGGAGGCAGCAGUGGGGAAUAUUGCACAAUGGGCGCAAGCCUGAUGCAGCCAUGCCGCGUGUGUGAAGAAGGCCUUCGGGUUGUAAAGCACUUUCAGCGAUGAGGCGUUACUCGCAGAAGAAGCACCGGCUAACUCCGGGCCAGCAGCGGCGGUAAGUC
rnacentral:rRNA from 1 species